rnacentral:rRNA from 1 species
GACGAACGCUGGCGGCGUGCCUAACACAUGCAAGUCGAGCGGAGAAACAAAAGAGCAGCUUGCUGCGAUUUGUUUCUUAGCGGCGGACGGGUGAGUAACGCGUGGGUAAUCUGCCUCAAACAGGGGGAUAACACAGGGAAACUUGUGCUAAUACCGCAUAAGACCCACCCAUGGCAUCAUGGAGAGGUCAAAGGAAGAAAUUACCGGUUUGUAGAUGAGCCCGCGUCUGAUUAGCUAGUUGGUGAGGUAACGGCUCACCAAGGCGACGAUCAGUAGCCGAACUGAGAGGUUGAUCGGCCACAUUGGGACUGAGACACGGCCCAGACUCCUACGGGAGGCAGCAGUGGGGAAUAUUGCACAAUGGGGGAAACCCGUGAUGCAGCGACGCCGCGUGAAGGAAGAAGGCCCUCGGGUUGUAAACUUCUUUGACCAGGGACGAAGAAAGUGACGGUACCUGGAGAACAAGCCACGGCUAACUACGUGCCAGCAGCCGCGGUAAAAGUACU